CCCGGGGAGACGGACGCGCAAGAGCGGCGCACGCCACGCCUGCAGCUCCGGGCCGGUCGCGGCUGCCUGGGCGCCCGCCCGGAUCCUGCCGCUUCCCGCCAGCCAUGGCCGACUCGCCCUCGCGCCGCAGCUCCAGAGAGCCUCAGGGGAAAGAGGAGAGCCGGAAGGAGUUGGAGGAAGGGUUAGAGAUGGAGGAGGAGGAGGAGGAGGAAGAGGAGGAGGAGGAGGAGGAAGAGGUUGAGGAAGAGAAAAACGAGGAGGUGGCGGUGGAAGAGUCUGAGGUGGCGGUGGAAGAGUCUGAGGUGGCGGUGGAAGAGUCUGAGGUGGCGGUGGAAGAGUCGGAGAUGGCGGUGGAAGAGUCGGAGAUGGCGGUGGAAGAGUCGGAGAUGGCGGUGGAAGAGUCGGAGAUGGCGGUGGAAGAGUCUGAGGUGGCGGUGGAAGAGUAUGAGGUGGCGGUGGAAGAGUCGGAGAUGCCGAUUGACCCCGAGUCGUUUUAUGAGUACUUCUGGAAGGUCAUGGACCUGGGCGGCAGCAAUGAGAACCAGUUGGUAGGGUUCCGACCCCGCUUAGCCAGCGUCGUCAGCCCCAGCCUGUCCCCGACGCCGCCGAUGUCCAGCGAGACCGAGAGCCUGACCAUCACCCUGACGCCGAGCACCAAGACGCCGCCGAGCACCCAGACGCUCAGCACCCUGACCCAGACCGUGGGGGAGAGCCCGCUCUCGAGCACCGCCUCCCAAAAAAGUUUUCCUAAAAUAUUUCAGACAUUUAGGCAAGACAUGUCUGAAGUAAAUUUAGAUAGAAGUAUCUAUCACGGUUUGUAUCCAGGAAUUCCAAUAUCAGUACAAACAGAAGAAAGUUGGCUUCAACAACUGUCUGGUAACAAGUAUACAAGUGAGCCAAAGCUAAAAAGAACCCCUGCAAAGAAGAAAGUUGAACGUCAAAGUCUAGCAUCUAAGUUAAGAGAAAAAUGGAUAAUUAAUCCAGAAGAGCCAAAACUAAGUAUUUUAUAUGAGCUGGAGUUUAAGGAAGACUUCAUAACGCUAUUUGAGCCUUCUCUAAGAACAUUGCCCAGCAUUGGGCCACCAGCCAUUCUGGCCUACAAAGAAGAGAGUUCCAAUUUAGACAUUACCUUCAAGGAUGAAGAGGAAGAGAUAGCACCUCAGUGUGAAUUUUGUGGAGGUGAUCUAAGAGCAUUUUUUUCCAAUGUGGACAUUUGCUAUGACUCUAAACCAAUGGGACUUGUCUGCUGUUGUAUGUCUUUCCAAAAUCUGAUUGACUAUGUCUGUGAGGAAGAAAAAACUAUCAAAAGGUCUGAAGCUGAAUUAAUCAGUAUUAAACCUCAUGCAGCCCAUGGCAGUGAAAUUGAUAGACUCAAGGCAAAGGAAAAAGCCCUGGAGAGAAAACAUGCCCGACAAAUGGCCAAACAUUUUGAAAUGAUGUCCUCGCAUGAACCUGUUACUACUGUCUCUGAAGAUGAUUAUGAGAAACGAGCUCUUAGAGAAGUACUACAAACACGGAGGCAAGUUUCUGACUUCAUUUCCAGACGGGACAACGCAAAUAUUCUAUCCAUCUGGAAACCUAGCUAUCAUCCGAGUACCCAACAAGAUACAUGGUUUCACAUGUAUAGUGCAAGAAGACGUGCACACCAACCCUGCCAUCCUGGCAGUGCUGGAUUCCUCUGGCAGAAGUUCCUGCUAUCACCCCAAUGGAAAUGUCUGGGUAUACAUCAAUAUCUUGGGAGGUCAAUAUUCAGAUCAAGCUGGCAACAGAAUAAGGGCUUGGAAUUGGUCAAGUCCCACCACUUCCUCACCAUUUGUUUCAUUUAAACCUGUCUUUCUGGCUUUGAACCAUCAUAUUGGAGUUCGCAUCUUAGAACAAGACAAGAUUUCUAUCACUUUUCUAGCAAUGGGCCAACAGGCAAAAAUCAGUGUCGGAACCAAAGUGAAGCUACCAGCCUCUGAGGAGAUUCCAGUCUUCCGAUAUCUGAGUGGAGAUGAUCUUAUUCUGCUGGCCAAUUUAAUAAAGAUUCGGCGCCUGUUUCAUAAACUUGAAGGAUGUGUGAAUUUUCCGUCAAGCCAGGUUUUGGAAAAAAUAAAGCAACCUUCCUACCUUUCCUCACUUUCUCUAAAACUAAUUGCCCUCUGUCACAAUUCUGGUAUAAAUCGAGAUACAAUGACAACAAUAAAAAACAUAAUAAAUGAAAAAAUUUAA